GACCAGAUCAAACCGGUUCAGACCGGUUCAAACCGGAUCAAGCCGGAUCAGACUGGAUCAAACCGCAUCAAACCGGUUUUGACCGGCUAAGACCAGAUCGAACCGCAUCAGACCGGAUCGAACCGGUUUUGACCGGAUCGAACCGGAUCAGACCGGAUUGAACCGGUUUUGAACGGAUCAGACCGGAUCAGACCGGAUCAAACCGGAUCACACCGAAUCAAACCAGAUCAGACUGCAUCCAACCGGAUCAGACUGGUUCCAACCGGUUUUGACGGGAUCAAACCGGAUCAGACCGGAUCGAACCAGAUCAGACUGGUUCAAACCGGUUUCGACCGGCUCAGACCAGAUCAGACCGGAUCAAACCGCAUCAAACCAGUUUCGACCGGCUCAGACCGGAUCAGACCGGAUCAAACCGCAUCAGACCGGUUCAAGCCGGUUGUGACCGGCUCGGACCGGAUCAAACCGGUUCAGACCGGUUCAGACCGGAUCAAACCGGUUCAGACCAGUUCAAACCGGAUGGAACCAGAUCAGACCGGAUGAAUCGGAUCAGACCAGAUCGAAUCGGAUCAGACCGGAUCAAACCAGUUGUGACCGGCUAAGACCGGAUCUAUCCGGAUCAGACCGGUUCAAACCGGAUCAAGCCAGAUCACACCGGAUCGAACCGGAUCAGACCGGUUCGAACCGAUUUUUACCGGAUCAGACCGGAUCAGAACGGAUCAAACUGGAUCAGACCGGAUCGAACAGGUUUUGACCGGAUCAGACCGGUUUUGACCGGAUCAGACCGGAUCAGACCGGAUCAAACCGGAUCACACCGAAUCAAACCGGAUCAGACUGCAUCCAACCGGAUCAGACUGGUUCCAACCGGUUUUGACGGGAUCAAAUCGGAUCAGACCGGAUCGAACCAGUUUUGACCGGCUCAGACCGGAUCAGACCAGUUUAAAACGGAUCAAUCCGGAUCAGACCGGAUCGAACCGGUUUUGACCGGAUCAGACCAGAUCAGAACGGAUCAAACCGGAUCACACCGGAUCAAACCGGUUUUGACCGGCUCUAACCGGAUCGGUCCGGAUCGGACCGGAUCAAACCGGAUCAGACCGGUUCAAACCGGGUCAGACCGGAUCAAACCGGAUCAAACCGGAUCAGACUGCUUCAAGCCGGUUUGUGACUGGACCAGACCGGAUCUAAUCGGAUCCAAUCGGAUCAGACCAGUUCCAACCGGUUUUGACGGGAUCAAACCGGAUCAAACUGGAUGAGACUGGUUUUGACAAGAUCAAACCAGAUAAGACCGGA
ensembl:lncRNA